UGAGAAAUUAGAUAAAGAGCACAAUCCUGUGUGUGGAUCAGCAUUUCUAAAGAUCUCCUGUUCUCAAGAAGGUGAUGGGGUAAGAUGAGAUUCAGAAGAAAGGGAACUGCACAGGCAAAUAGAGUAAGAAGAGUGUAGCAUGCUGUUUAAUUUUCAUUCUGUUUUCACAAGAAGGCAGAGUGCUAAAGAAUUGAUGCUUUCAAACUACGGUGUUGGACAAGACUUGAGAGUCCCUUGGACAGCAAGGGGAUCAAUCCAGUGAAUCCUAAAGGAAAGCAACUCUGAAUACUCAUUGAAGGACUGAUGCUGAAGCUAAAGUUCCAAUACUUUGGCUACCUGUUGUAAACAGCCAACACACUGGAAAAGACCCUGAUGCUUGGAAAGAAUGAAGGCAGAAGAGGGUGACAGAGAGUGAGAUGGUUGGAUGGUAUCAGCGACUCAAUGGACAUGAACUUGGGCAAACUCUGGGAAAUGGUGAGGGACAGGGAGGCCUGGCAUGCUGCAGUCCAUGGAGUUGCAAAGAGUUGGACACAACUUGGCAACUGAACAACAUGUUUUCAGAUGUAAAUCAUUUUAGAAUUUGGAUGCAGUCAAACUUGUCAUUUCCUCCUUUAAAUUUUUGUUUUUAAAAUUUUUGUAUCCUAAACUAGAAGGUCUUUAACCCAAUGAUGAUAUCUUCAAGUUUUUAAAUAAAUUUUAUGGCUUAAAAAUA